rnacentral:rRNA from 1 species
AACGCUCAAGGGUUUUACCCUAAAGCAGAGCGAGUUGUAAGAAAAGACAAAGACAAAGACAAAGCUCAGAGAGUUUGAAUCAGUAAUAGCUUGUGACCGAAUAAUAACAGUGAAAUAAAGUGAAGUAAAAAAACUGAAAGAACAAAGAAACAAAGACAAUCAAGCCGAAUUAUUCCGGCGGCGAUAGUGCAGUAGUCCCACCUGAACCCAUGCCGAACUCAGAAGUGAAAUGCUGUAAUGCCGAUGGUAGUGUGGGGUCUCCCCAUGUGAGAGUAGGACACCGCCGGAU